GGUGCUCGAGUGGCGAACGGGUGGGUAACACGUGAGUAACCUGCCCUUGACUUUGGGAUAACUUCAGGAAACUGGGGCUAAUACCGGAUAGGAGCUCCUGCUGCAUGGUGGGGGUUGGAAAGUUUCGGCGGUUGGGGAUGGACUCGCGGCUUAUCAGCUUGUUGGUGGGGUAGUGGCUUACCAAGGCUUUGACGGGUAGCCGGCCUGAGAGGGUGACCGGCCACAUUGGGACUGAGAUACGGCCCAG
rnacentral:rRNA from 1 species